CAAGUAUCUCAAAAAGCCAUAAGAAUACUGACCGAUCCAUUUGGCAGCAUGCUCAGUGCCUUGUCUCGCUUCUUUUGCUUUCUCCUCAACACUCUCACAGACAUUCUCCACUUGCUCGGACACGUUCCUUGCAAUAUCUCCUCUGAUCGUCGUGCCUAUAGCCCUUGCAUCUUUUAGGUUCUCUUUCGCUUCGUAAGCCUUCUGUGACGCAGUGUCUUUGGCUUUCCCUAAUGCAUCUUUUGCAGCCUCUUUG
rnacentral:lncRNA from 1 species